ACCUUUUUAGUAUUAGACAGUAUAGGUGACUUCCAAUCACUUGGCCUUGGUUAAAAUCCAAGAAAAGGUA
rnacentral:tRNA from 1 species